UGAGUACGAGACGCUAAGGCGUCGAAGUAGUGUAUGUCAUACUUCCAAGAAAAGCUUGCACUGUCAUUCAUAAAAAAUGCCUGUACCAUAACCGACACAGGUGGGUAGGUAGAGUAUACUAAGGGGCGCGAGAUAACUCUCUCUAAGGAACUCGGCAAAAUAACUCCGUAACUUCGGGAGAAGGAGUGCCUUAUUUAUAUAAGGUUGCAAUAACAAGAUCCAAGCAACUGUUUACCAAAAACACAGGUCUCCGCUAAGUCGUAAGACGAUGUAUGGGGGCUGACGCCUGCCCAGUGCCAGAAGGUUAAAGAAGUUGGUUAGCAAUAGCGAAGCUGAUAACUGAAGCCCUGGUGAACGGCGGCCGUAACGAUAACGGUCCUAAGGUAGCGAAAUUCCUUGUCGGGUAAGUUCCGACCCGCACGAAAGGCGUAAUGAUUUGGAUACUGUCUCGGAGAGGGACUCGGUGAAAUAGACUUGUCUGUGAAGAUGCGGACUACCUGCACCUGGACAGAAAGACCCUAUGAAGCUUUACUGUAACUUGAAAUUGAAAUUGGACUUUAUUCGCGCAGUAUAGGUGGGAGGCGUUGAAAAUAAUCUUGCGGGACUAUUGGAGCCAUCAGUGAGAUACCACUCUUAUAAUGUUAGAUUUCUAACUUUGAAUCAUUAUCUGGUCAAAGAACAGUUUCAGGCGGGCAGUUUGACUGGGGCGGUCGCCUCCCAAACGGUAACGGAGGCGUACAAAGGUUUCCUCUGAACGGGUAGAAAUCGUAUCUAGAGUAUAAAGGCAAAAGGAAGCUUGACUGUGAGACCUACAAGUCGAGCAGGGACGAAAGUCGGUCUUAGUGAUCUGACGGUACUGAGUGGAAAGGCCGUCACUCAACGGAUAAAAGUUACUCUAGGAUAACAGGCUGAUCUCCCCCAAGAGUUCACAUCGACGGGGAGGUUUGGCACCUUGAUGUCGGCUCAUCGCAUCCUGGGGCGGUAGUACGUCCCAAGGGUUGGGCUGUUCGCCCAUGAAAGCGGUACGCGAGCUGGGUUCAGAACGUCGUGAGACAGUUCGGUCCAUAUCCGUUGUAGGCGUUAGAAUAUUGAGAGGAGCCUUCUUUAGUACGAGAGGACCGAGAAGGACAUACCUCUGGUGUACCAGUUAUCGUGCCAACGGUAAACGCUGGGUAGCUAUGUAUGGAGUGGAUAACCGCUGAAAGCAUCUAAGUGGGAAGCCCACCUCAAGAUGAGUAUUCUCA
rnacentral:rRNA from 1 species